UAAUACGGAGGGUGCAAGCGUUGUCCGGAAUCAUUGGGUGUAAAGGGUGCGUAGGCGGGUUUUUAAGUCUGGGGUGAAAGGCUGCGGCUCAACCGUAGGAUUGCCUUGGAUACUGGAGACCUUGAGUGUAACAGAGGCCGGUAGAAUUCGUGGUGUAGCGGUGAAAUGCAUAGAUAUCACGAAGAAUACCAGUGGCGUAGGCGGCCGGCUGGGUUACAACUGACGCUGAGGCACGAGAGCGUGGGGAGCAAACAGG
rnacentral:rRNA from 1 species